ACGCUAUCACUCCUACGGGAGGCAGCAGUGAGGAAUAUUGGUCAAUGGGCGCAAGCCUGAACCAGCCAUGCCGCGUGCAGGAAGACUGCCCUAUGGGUUGUAAACUGCUUUUAUACAGGAAGAAACACUCCCUCGAGUAGGGAGCUUGACGGUACUGUAAGAAUAAGGAUCGGCUAACUCCGUGCCAGCAGCCGCGGUAAUACGGAGGAUCCAAGCGUUAUCCGGAAUCAUUGGGUUUAAAGGGUCCGUAGGUGGAUAAUUAAGUCAGAGGUGAAAGUCUGCGGCUCAACCGUAGAAUUGCCUUUGAUACUGGUUAUCUUGAAUUAUUAUGAAGUAGUUAGAAUAUGUAGUGUAGCGGUGAAAUGCAUAGAUAUUACAUGGAAUACCAAUUGCGAAGGCAGGUUACUAACAAUAUAUUGACGCUGAUGGACGAAAGCGUGGGUAGCGAACAGGAUUAGAUACCCUGGUAG
rnacentral:rRNA from 1 species